GCCUCGGUGGUGUAGUGGUUAGAGCACGCGUCCCCGUGUAGAACCAAACGCGGGUUCGAUUCCCACCUGAGGCC